UAAUUGAAUGUGCUGCCAACCUUGCUUGUGAACACAGGCUGUCUUCUGGACUUUCUUCACAUAGAAAGAUACUAUAACCUUAAAUGAAGAGAGAUGUAGAUGGUUAUAAGAUUAUAAGUGUAUUGUGUCCAGUAGACGUGGAAAUUAUUUGCCAAUGGGAUUUUAAAUCGACCUCAACUGUUACGCCUCAUACUCAUUUUGGGACCAAAGUGAGAAGCGGUGCCACUUCAAGGGGUCCCUCUAAGAGGCUGUACUGAGUUGGUCUACACUGUGGUUGAUGGUUCCAUAUCUACUCUGUAGUCCUCCCACCUUCCACCCUUCACAUCUGGAGUUCAUUUCCAGCAUUCUCGGCACCUGCCAGUUGGAGGAAGGAAUCCCCUAUCUCUGGGUGAAGGAAUGGCCUGUGGGCUUGCCCCCGAGUACGCAUGAAUGUUCUCAUGAUACUUGAAUAAUGCUCUCAGAAGAACAAUUGCUUUGGAGGCCGAGUGAGGGUCUGUGGGGCUCUUCAUAAGAACAAUUUCCAGGGUACUCGCUUACUUUCUGGAGUUUUCUCUAUGUUCACUGAGGUUUUUGGUUAUUGGUUGCUUUUCAAUUGGAACCACAGAAUUUAUUGAGCAACAUUGUGUCUUGUGUUGGUUGUGGACCUUCGACCAUCCAUUUCAAAGCAGUGACUAGGCAGGGGCUAGUUUGCACUCCAAUCAAGCAUCCCACCACUGGGUGUGCUCCUGAGCACUUUCCUAGGCAGACUUUGCUCAGGUUUCGAGGACAAGGGGAAACCUUGGCACACCUAAGACGGACCAUUCUCCAGUUAGUGCACUCUACUUGUAGGGUGAGAUGUGUUGAGGUUUCUCUAGGUGGACUCACAGCUCUGAGAUCUGAGUAUUAAC
rnacentral:lncRNA from 1 species